rnacentral:rRNA from 1 species
AACGAACGCUGGCGGCAUGCCUAACACAUGCAGGUCGAACGAGACCUUCGGGUCUAGUGGCGCACGGGUGCGUAACGCGUGGGAACCUGCCCCUAGGUUCGGAAUAACUCCCCGAAAGGGGUGCUAAUACCGGAUAAUGUCUUCGGACCAAAGAUUUAUCGCCUUUGGAUGGGCCCGCGUUGGAUUAGCUAGUUGGUAGGGUAAAAGCCUACCAAGGCGACGAUCCAUAGCUGGUCUGAGAGGAUGAUCAGCCACACUGGGACUGAGACACGGCCCAGACUCCUACGGGAGGCAGCAGUGGGGAAUAUUGGACAAUGGGCGAAAGCCUGAUCCAGCAAUGCCGCGUGAGUGAUGAAGGCCUUAGGGUUGUAAAGCUCUUUUACCCGGGAUGAUAAUGACAGUACCGGGAGAAUAAGCUCCGGCUAACUCCGUG